GGUGAGCAUAGUUUAAUAAAAACACUAAACUGUGGAUUUAGAAA
rnacentral:tRNA from 1 species